GAGCGUUUGCCUGGGAAGGCUGUGCGUUGGACCACAUGCACCGAUGACAACAGUGACAACCGCAGCCGCCACAGCUCAUCACGGGUUGUGUGGAGCACAGCUUUCAUGUAAUAGGGAGCCUGAAAAAUGUAGCUGACCCUGGAUAGGUAAAGUAAUUAAAUGUACUCACGGUAAGGAAGUGAUCAAUUUUAAGGGCAUUCAUAUGCCAAUUAUCCUGACUGGAUCAUGAUGCAAUGUACAGAUGGAUGGAAGCCUCACACUGUACCUCCUACACAUGCCCGGGGAUACGUGGUGACGUCAAGGUGAACGGAUUGAGAGACACCUAGCGGGGUCAGCAGUGAGCUCCAGGCCUUGGAUGCUGGCUGGAUAUUCCCAAGUUUGCAACAUGAAGACGGCCACGAGAAAGGUCCGAUGACCCUAACAUCGAAGGCAGAGAUUCCUGCAGCGGGGAGUCCCUGGGAAACCCGCAGGGCACCACCACCUCUGCCACCCCCUGAGCACUGCAGACUCCACGCCCGACUGCUGCGUACUUUGCUGGCUCUAACCAGGAGGCCUCCCCUGAUGAGAAAGAGCUUGGAGUAUCGAGAAGGGUUCAGUCACCUAGUUCAAGAAACAGAAUUGGAGGAUACAGCCUUAGAAUACUUACAGAACUUGCCUCCAUAUGGACAGGGCUCCUCUGCUCUACUCCUGCAGCCAC
rnacentral:lncRNA from 1 species